rnacentral:lncRNA from 1 species
AUGACGAGACGUGAAUACUUCGUGGACAAAAGUCACUUCAUCAAAGAUGUAAUGGAGGAUCGUGCAUUGAUCACAGCCAUCGCGAGGCCGAGAAAAUUCGGAAAAAGCAUUAAUCUUUCGAUGCUGUAUUAUUUUUUGACGGUGAACGGACGAUAUUCUCAACUGUUCCAAAAUCUUACAAUUACAAAGGAUCGACACUUCUGUCGCAUGCACCAGAACAAACACCCGACUAUGAGCGUGAGGUUUGGUUACAAUUAUUGGAUCACGUAUGAGCAAGCCAUCGACGGAAUGAGGCAGGUCAUGCACAAGCUGUUCCUCCGGAACAGAUACGUCAUAAAAAGCGUCAACGUGACGGAGCCCGAAAAACGUAAAUUCGAAGUCAUCUUAAAGAAGAGCGGCACACACGACGAGACAAUAGACGCAAUCCGCCUCAUGACAGACCUGAUGUCCCGCUACCAUCACAGGCGCGUCAUCUUGCUCGUGGACGCAUACGAUACGUCGAUCAACAGGGCCUUUUUCCACGGCUUCUACUCGCAAAUGGUUAUUCUCAUGCGGUCCGCACUCCAACGCGCCAUGGAGAGAAACCCUUUUCUACUCAAAGCUGUCGUGGUGGGCACCACGUUGGUUUCCUACCAAGGCCUCUUCCUGGGCAUCAACUUCGUCGAAAUCCAUUCCGUCUGGAGUCCCAAAUAUCAAUAUUGCUUCGGCUUUACCGAGGAAGAGGUGAAAAAGGUCCUCCUCGACCAUAAUUACAACGAGCGUGCUUUGGAUAACAUGCGGGAGUUUUACGAGGGCUACUACAUCGGCAACCAGAAGAUGUUCAACCCUUACUCGGUAAUUAACUCUCUACACAGAGACGGUCAGACAAUCGCGAUCAAAAAUCUCUGGGUUAAGUCGGCCGACCCGAUAGAUUUUAUCGAUCUGAUGCUACGACACGGAAUCCUGCCAAUCCUCAACGCGGAGAUACUGCUCAGCGGCCAGGAUAUCUAUAAAGUCGUGACCGCGGCCAUUGAGUUACCGAAAAUCAAGGAUGAUGAAAUGACCUUCUGGUCUUACCUCACGCAGACAGGGUACCUUGCCAUCAGCACGCAGACAAGGAGGAGCACCGGAGAGGCCUUGCGGGUGCCGAAUCGGGAAGUUGCUCUAGCUUUCAAAAACGCCAUUGCAGCCUACUAUAAACACUUUAAUAGGACGCCUCAGUAUGAAGAUUUCAGGAACAGUCUGAGAGACAGGAAUUCAACGGCAAUUAAGGACUGUUUAGAGGAAUACGUCAACAAAUCGACUCCAUUCUUCCACAGAAGGAAUUUAGCGGACUUUGAGGGGUUGAUGACGGGAAUAUUACGAGGAGUUGAGAGAGACCACGGAGCUGUGACGAAACAUCGCGAGGGGGACCACACUUCGACUCUCACUUUAGGACCUUCUGGUAACUCCACGGAAAAGCUAGUUUUUGUGCUCACCGAGGCAAAGGCUAGAGAAAAGGCGGCGGAUGCCAACAGGGGAGUCAAAAAGAUGUUUCUGAAGUUCUGCCGCAUGUUCCAAGGCAACGAGACGAUCCUAUCCCUAUCAUGUGCGAUGGAUUGUUCGAACUAAGACUCGAUGUGAAAUAAAGGCGAUGAAAUGAUAACUAAGUAUUGUUCAAGUUUCUCGAGAGGACCACAUUUAAGGCGAAUGAAGAGCCAUAUCCACAGUCGCUUCUCCAUUGUGGUCCGUAAGGUCUAUAUUGUCACUAGGGAGGUCUGGACCUUUUCUCUGCCAAAAUUUAGAGUGAAGUUGCAUCUUCAUCCAACAAUUUUAAGCCGCAAAUAAGGCGUUUUGAAUUAUGUUUCUUGAAUUGAAAAAUUCAAACCCGAUGUAAUUCCAGUUUGGUUCGAAGUUGUCUGGCUAGAUCUUCACAGACAACUUUGUAAACGAUUACGCUAAGCCGUAAGCUUGUGGGACAAAAACCUCAAUUUGAGCUUUUCUAAGACUAAAACCAAUGGACAGUCAGAAAAGGGCGUAACCUCCUAGGAAAAGUAACGAGGCCCAAAGAUUUGGUAGGUUGAGUACAUUCAUGUGUGAGGAUUAUCAUGGUAACAACUCUACACGGAAAAAAUAGGGUAGUCGACACAACCAGCGGCUGGUUAAAAACGCGCCAGCAACCGUGCGUUAGUUACGAUAACUACCGCGGUGGAGGCCCAACUAACCCGGUAGUUACAUCUACAUCUAUGGUUGUUGAUGUAACUACCGGGUUAGUUGUGACCUCCACCGUGGUAGUUAUCGUAAAACCGCACGGUAUCUGGCGCGUUUUUAAGCAGUCGCUGGUUGUGUCGACAAUCCUUUUUUUCCGUGUAGUAAUAAUACAAUAAAAUUCAUGCUUAGGAUUUAACUAAGUACACAAUGUAAGGUAAUCGAUAAAAAUAUAUCCCAAUCACAACUCCUCGGCUGAUACUUUCUUUAAAUUCCAAACAUGAAUACUAUUCUAUUUUCGUUUGACAAGUAUGCGCAACUGAGAGUUUCAUAUCCCAAAAACCUGAUUCAUAUAAGGCCGAGUAAUGUUGCAAACUCCAAGAAUAUUAUAAAGGUUUAAAUGGCUUAAAAUUCUGCAUAGUUUGCUUUUAGUGACACCACUGAUUUUACUUACUUUGAUGAAUGUUAAGUGUUAAAAGACUUGCAAUGUAUUUAUAGUUAUCUCAAUGACUUUACAGUGAAUACAUUAACCACAUGCCAUGAGUGAUAAAGCCAUAGAACAAAUACCUUGAUAUCCAGCUCAAGAUACACGAUAGUCAGCAAAAAUAUUAAUGUCAACAAGUGAUCGGAUUCCCUCUCCCCCCCCUCCCAUUACUGGGAAUAAGAGUUCUACCGUGUAAACCACGGUGUUCCACAUUGAUCGAACUUUUCGGUUUCGGGAGACGAAAUUUCGGUUGUAGUUAAAUCGUGUGACCAAACAUGUUUCAUCAAGUCGUUUCGACCAAAAAAUUCGUCUUCUUGAUGCAAUUUAUAGGUUGAUAAAUCGAGGGUUCAGUUGGACAAACAAAACAAAAUUAAUGUACGGAACACUUAACUGUUUACAAUCGAUUUUUUCCCUCAUUUUUCUAAGUAAAUCUUUUUAUUCUAUUGACUUUGUGAAAAUGUGUGAUGUUGUAAACUAUCUUUAUCAUCCAAAUUUCGUAAAGCAUGUCGUGAGACUUUCUAUUGAUCAAUCGUCAUCACUUUUAUAUUAUAACUGUGCAGAGAUGUACAUUUUGCAAAGAAUAUUAUUCAAAAUUAAAAUUCAAAACCUAUAGUUAUAAAGUCUUCGCUUUUCUGACGCGUGUACGUUCUGAACAUUGCAGUGCAUGCAAGUCACUGAAAAUUUCACAAAAAUCUGCAGAACCGUUUUGAUUAUGUAUAGCAUCACGUCAAGAUCUUGGCCCCUGCUCAUAUCGCUAAACUUCUCACUUCUUUGCUUGGGAUGGAGUCCAAACAAGUAGACGUCUCUUUUUAAAGUUCAUCAUGAU